AAGAUCAUACUUCACAGGAUCAUUUCUGUAGUAUAUCUUCACAUUCUCUCUACUCAACAGUGGAGUCGAUGCAGCCACGAUGAAGAGACGUAACUCUCUUUCCUGAGCGUGAGGACGACUCGAAAAUCCAACUUAUGUUGGAAUUUCGGUCAUCGAUGAUCGUUCACCUUUCACGCUUUGCGUGAGAGGCACGGAAAGUGAGUUUUCUGAGUGGU